rnacentral:rRNA from 1 species
GACGAACCGUGCAAACGUUGUUCGGAAUCACUGGGCUUAAAGGGCGCGUAGGCGGGUGGCCAAGUCAGGGGUGAAAUCUUUCGGCUUAACCGGAAAAUAGCCUUUGAUACUGGCCGUCUUGAGCGAGGUAGGGGCAUGUGGAACUUCCGGUGGAGCGGUGAAAUGCGUUGAUAUCGGAAGGAACGCCGGUGGCGAAAGCGACGUGCUGGACCUCUUCUGACGCUGAGUGCGCGAAAGCUACGGGAGCGAACGGG